GUUGUAUGGUUAAGUGACUAAGCGUACACGGUGGAUGCCUUGGCAGUCAGAGGCGAUGAAGGACGUAGUAACUUGCGAUAAGCGUAGAUGAGGCAGUAACAGCCACUUGAGUCUACGAUUUCCGAAUGGGGAAACCCACUGGCAUAAGCCAGUAUCAUUGAGUGAAUACAUAGCUCAAUGAAGCGAACCGGGAGAACUGAAACAUCUAAGUACCCCGAGGAAAAGAAAUCAACCGAGAUUCCGAAAGUAGCGGCGAGCGAAAUUGGAUUAGCCCUUAAGCUUUACAUGUGUUAGACGAACGGUCUGGAAAGUCCGACGAUACAGGGU
rnacentral:rRNA from 1 species